rnacentral:rRNA from 1 species
UACGUAGGGUGCGAGCGUUACUCGGAAUUAUUGGGCGUAAAGCGUGCGCAGGCGGUUGUGUAAGACAGGUGUGAAAUCCCCGGGCUUAACCUGGGAACUGCGCUUGUGACUGCACGACUGGAGUGUGGCAGAGGGGGGUGGAAUUCCACGUGUAGCAGUGAAAUGCGUAGAUAUGUGGAGGAACAUCGAUGGCGAAGGCAGCCCCCUGGGUUAACACUGACGCUCAUGCACGAAAGCGUGGGGAGCAAACAGG